UGCCUUGUUGGUGCUGGGUUGAUGGGUGUGUCUGCCUUGUUGGUGCUGGGUUGAUGGGUGUGUCUGCCUUGUUGGUGCUGGGUUGAUGGGUGUGUCUGCCUUGUUGGUGCUGGGUUGAUGGGUGUGUCUGCCUUGUUGGUGCUGGGUUGAUGGGUGUGUCUGCCUUGUUGGUGCUGGGUUGAUGGGUGUGUCUGCCUUGUUGGUGCUGGGUUGAUGGGUGUGUCUGCCUUGUUGGUGCUGGGUUGAUGGGUGUGUCUGCCUUGUUGGUGCUGGGUUGAUGGGUGUGUCUGCCUUGUUGGUCCUGGUUUGAUGGGUGUGUCUGCCUUGUUGGUCCUGGGUUGACGGGUGACCUCAGUGGCCUGUCCGCACACCCGCAGGCACCUCGCUGGCGCCCAGAGCUCUGCUGUACCUCCUGUCCCAGGCUGGAGGCUGCCAGGACCCGGUUGCAGCUGGGGACCCUGUCACAUGAGCAGUGCUGGCAGUGGCGCUUGCGGCUCUGUCCUCGGCUGACACAGUCUCGCAGUGGCAUUUGCAGCAGUCAGCUGUGUGGUCAGAGUCAUCCCCCUCUCUGAAUCCUGGACCUCAUCUACGAAAAUGACGGUGUGGGAGCUGAUGGCGCUCAAAGCCCCUUUCAGGCGGCAAUUCGGAGACUGGAGAAGGGGUGUCAGUCUUUUCUGGAAACGAGGGGGCAGCAUGGGUCGUGGGGACUGGUAGGGCCCACAGAGGGGAAGGCGACCAUGGUAAACUAGCUUCUUUGCUGAAUGUCAUCUCCAAAGUGUUUGUUGAGGGCUGGGAGUUAAGGACUGGAGCCCUCCCCUCCCAGGGCUGGGGGUCACGAUGCUCCCGUCCUGGCUGCCCGCUGGACGACAGCCCCUGCACACCCAGCUCUGUGCUCCGCACUUCCCCAUCAUGGGACAGGGCGUGGCUGGACCCAUUUUGCAGACGAGGGUGAUGUGUCCACGUCACACGGGCAGUAAGUGACUGGGAAGCUCGACCUCCAGGAAGCUGCAGGGCUGGCUGAACCAUCACUUCUUCUGUUGCCAAGGAAACAGAGGCAUGGGGGAGGUGAGCAGUUGCCCAGGGCCACCCGACUAAGAAAGUGCCAGGUGUGCAGCUGCCCUCCUCGGCAUCCCUGUCACAUGCCCUGAGACCAUCCUUAGUGCCCCUCGUUUUCAAAGCCUCCCCUCUGGAUCCUCUUCUACACCCUGGUUCUCCCCCAUUAUUUAUACAAUGAGGCUAAGAUAAAUGAGAGAGGCAGCCCAAGGUUCACCCACAGUCCAGGUGCUGGACAUGUGCAGAAAAGGGAGAGAACGGGUCCUGCAUCCCAGAGCCUGGAAGACGACUAGCCCCGAGUAAGUGCUUGUAACUGAAUAAUCGGUUAGGGACGUCUGCAUUCCAGUCUGGAUCUCAGCAGGAGGCUCUCAGGCUGUUGGAGAUGAGCAGAUCCAAUGCCAGCUGCUGUUGCAGAAAUUUGUGUCUGCCCUUGGGAGCUCCUGUGCCUUAGUUGCCUUUUCUAUAAAGGGGGUCAUUGUGGCCCCUCCCAUGGAAGGUUGCUGGGGCUUUAAAGGGAUGAAUACCCGGGGCUGGACACAGCAGCUGGCAUCGCCCUUGCUCUGUGUCAUGCCGCUGUUCUUGUCACUUUGUCACCAGUUUCCAUGCUGUCCUGGUGGUGUGAUCCGAGCUGAUUUGGGGGCAUUUUGGAGUGGAGUUGGGCAGAACAGCGGAGGGGUAAUGGCCCCCAGUGCCCCCUCUGGUCCCUUGGUUUUCCAUCUUGAGUGCCGCAAGGUAGCCUCUGAGUGGGCAGCAGUGUCUGUGUUUGUGUGAUGUGGUCUGCAGAAUCAGCUGGACCAGGAGCCCCAGGGGUGGUGCAAGGUUUAGAAAUGAUGGAAACUAGGGUACAGAGUGUGGUUUCCAGUGCUCUGUCUCCUUGUGGUGCACCUACUGGUCCUGCUCUGGGAGACUGCAGCCCUGUGGAGAGGAAAGCAGGGAGGUACCCCUUCCUGGCCCCUUCCUGGCCCCACAGCAUCCUCCGGUGUCCUG